GGGGACGCGCGGGUUCGACAGGGGAGGGCGCGACAAGACUGCAGGCUGAGGUGCCGCUACCCUCAUAAAACCAGUGGCACAACAGUAACUGGCGAUAACGAGCCUGUACUCGUAGCCGCCUAACAUCGGCUACCGUUCACACUGACCUCUCCUCGAUGGGUCGGUGAUGGGCGACGCAAUGUCGGGGUGCGGCCAUUCUGACGUCGAUAUGAGUGGUCUAAGAAAACUCGACUAACUCAGCCAGACUCGGUUGACAGAGGCUGGCCGGGUGAGACAAACAGUCAACUAAGCCUGUAGCAGGUCUUGAGCAAGUUCCUCUGGACGGGGAGUUCGACUCUCCCCCGUCUCCACCA
rnacentral:tmRNA from 1 species